GCCUUGUUAGCUUAGUUGGUAGCGCGUCUGCCUUGUAAGCGCUAGGCCGCGGGUUCGAUUCCCGCCCGGGGCG
rfam:Asian citrus Psyllid, Diaphorina citri - Florida Strain, whole genome shotgun sequence.